rnacentral:rRNA from 1 species
UACGUAGGCAGCAAGCGUUGUUCGGAAUUACUGGGUGGAAAGCGCGUGUAGGCGGGAGGCCAAGUCUGCUGUGAAAUCGCCCGGCUCAACUGGGCGGGGUCGGUGGAAACUGGUCACCUGGAGGACGGUAGAGGCGAGUGGAAUUCCCGGUGUAGUGGUGAAAUGCGUAGAGAUCGGGAGGAACACCAGUGGCGAAGGCGGCUCGCUGGGCCGGACCUGACGCUGAGACGCGAAGGCGUGGGGAGCAAACAGG